rnacentral:rRNA from 1 species
CACGUAGGCGGAUUGAUAAGUUGGGGGUGAAAUCCCGGGGCUCAACCCCGGAACUGCCUCCAAAACUAUCAGUCUUGAGUUCGAGAGAGGUGAGUGGAAUUCCGAGUGUAGAGGUGAAAUUCGUAGAUAUUCGGAGGAACACCAGUGGCGAAGGCGGCUCACUGGCUCGAUACUGACGCUGAGGUGCGAAAGCGUGGGGAGCAAACA